CGACCCUGAGCAGGAUGGUCCAUGCCUUCUUUUCUCUCAGCACCGUACGAGCCGAAGCUCUAGUUUGUCCUUAACCUUCAGCCAAGCGCUUAUCUGGCCGCGUUGCUCCUCUCCCGAUCCCUAACCGCCGCCUUCUCUCCCUAACAACCGAGACGCUUUUAUCUCUAUCGAAACCCAAAUUCAAUCCCGAUCCAAUCCCGAAUUCCAAUUUUAUCUCAAGCUCAAAUCCUAUAACUGAAUCGGAUCCAAGUUUGGCUGGCCGCAAUUCCCGCGAGGUCCCAACUAAUUUGGGAUUGAUUUCUUCGCCGCCAAGUCCUACUUAUGAGCUAUAUAAGGGGAGCCUCUGCUGCCGCCGCGCACAGAAGGGAGGAGGGCCCUGGCCGAAGCCCUGUCGCCGCCAUCGAUCUACGUCGAAGCCACCAAAGUCCUGUUGCCACCGACUAACGAGCUCCAGGAAGAGGAGAAAGGCCCAGGCUAUCACACAUCCUCUAACGGUUCCCGAGGUCACCUGCCACACGUCCAGGCUGCAAGACGUCGACGGUGAGGUCGACCGUGUGCUCAAGCCGGGCAGCCCCCAUGUCACUUAUGAGGGUCCGGAGCACGUUGAGUGCAUCUACGGCAUCGAGCACGGCAACUAGCUCCUCGGGUUCUGACACUAGGACAUCAACACGCAUCACAGCAACGCCGAGACUCCGUCACGAUCCAUCUCUCUCACUUCAUCACCACCAUGAGGAACGCGUCGGGCAUCGCUCAAGGAGAAGUUUGAUUUAUACGCUAAUUCUUUCUAUGUUGUUUUCUCAUGAUGGCAUAGGGAGAGCGCGGUGGCUCUUCUCGGCAACGAGCAGUAGCCUCAUCUCUUUCCCCUGUAUUCGUGCGCCAGGGAGCAACCCAGUCAGCUGUCUAGCAAGGACGCACAUCGCGUUGGGCGUGGUGCGGGGGGCUUUACCGUCUGCAAGUUACGAUUGAUCAAAGAAGAAGUUCAAAGAUCUCGCAGCAAGAAAAGCUUACCAUUUUAAUAUCUUGCAAAUUUUAUUUCCUUUUAAGGGAUGUUAUAUUAUUAUCAAUUCUUUGUUUUUAUUCCUGUUUGUUCUUGUGAAGGUCGCAAUAGUUUCGCGCAGGGUCUAUCUUCGUGCGGGUGGGCGAUGCCCGUGAUGCUUGCACCGUUCCGCUCUCUCUGGGAUGCAUCGGCUUCUCCCCUUACCGGAUCGGUCUAUACCCUCCAGUCUGACUCAUGAGGGCCUCAAUAGCUUGGUGUUGGCUUCGUCGGUGGCAUGUGUGCGGGAUGUCGGCUUCCCUUGUUUUAACCCUGGCGGCAUUUGUGGUUGUUGUUCGACCACGAUUGGUCGGGAGCACCAGGCGAAAGCCUUUUCGACCUUGUGUCGAUGCCGGUGCUGGCGAUGUUCUCGGACGCCUUUACCUCCUUGGAGGCGGUGUUGUGAUGCUCCUUGCCUCUCUGGAAAGUUCUUCGGGUGAAAACCCAAUCUCAGUCUUUUUAGAUGAGCAAUGAUGAUGUCUUUGAUGUCGUGCCCUCCCCGGUGGCGUUGUUCGGGAGUUCCUUUCCUGUGGUUCGGGUGGCCUCAUUUGUGUUGGGUAGUCGAAGGAUGGGGUCUGUGUUGCGAAGUCGGAGCUGCUUUGCCGCUUUUGUGCAAUGAACUUAGCAACGAUGACCCGAUUGCGGACUCCAUUUGUAGUUGUGUGCAGCAUUUGUUGUUCGGGCACUUAUGUCAUCGGGUAUUCCGCUGGUUGGCCCUAAAUCAACCAUGCAGUUGUUAAGGUUUUUGAACCCAAUUUCUCUCGUAAACUGGGU